UAGUAUUGAGGAGGUGUGGUAGUAUUGAGGAGGUGUGGUAGUAUUGGGGAGGAGUGAUAGUAUUGAGGAGGUGUGGUAGUAUUGAGGAGGUGUGGUAGUAUUGGGGAGGAGUGAUAGUAUUGGGGAGGUGUGAUAGUAUUGGGGAGGUGUGGUAGUAUUGGGCUUCUGUGCUGAGAGUUUCUUUGAUGAGUUUGGUUGGUGAGCUAUAUCGAUGCUCUUCUCUAUCUUCCUCAGAAGUGAGAGGCUGAUAUAUUUGUGCUGUCUACAUUUUGGGACAUUUGUACUAAACUGUACUGUUGGCUGUACAUAUACAGCUGUUUGUAAAUAUUUAUUGUUUCAAUUUAUAUAAUUAAUCUUUUUGUUUAUUUUUCACAUUCUUGGAUUAUGUACCUGGUGGAGGACACAUUCAUUUCCAACCACAGAGUUUUUGUCUCCCUGCUGCCUUUUGUGCUUACCCUAAAAGACUCUUGACACGGUGACCCUUUGACAGAGUGUUGAGCAGAUGUAUGUGGAUGCAUUGGCUAAAGACACUGGUACCAUGGUGUGACACUGUGAUAUCUGACCCUUUCCUGCAAG
ensembl:lncRNA